rnacentral:rRNA from 1 species
UACGGAGGGGGCAAGCGUUACUCGGAAUUACUGGGCGUAAAGGGCUCGUAGGCGGCCAACUAAGUCAGACGUGAAAUCCCUCGGCUUAACCGGGGAACUGCGUCUGAUACUGGAUGGCUUGAGUGUGGGAGAGGGAUGCGGAAUUCCAGGUGUAGCGGUGAAAUGCGUAGAUAUCUGGAGGAAUACCGGUGGCGAAGGCGGCAUCCUGGACCGGCAUUGACGCUGAGGAGCGAAAGCUAGGGGAGCAAACGGG